GCCGAAAUCUCCACUCAAACCACUACUCCCUAACCCCUAGUUAGGGGGUAGGGAGUAGAGCACUAUAUAGUGAGCUCACCAGCAUAAUAGAAACACCACUUUCGGACACUACUCGAUCGUCUCUCGGCGCCGUUGAUUACUAGAGCACUAUAUAGUGAGCUCACCAGCGUAAUAGAAACACCACUUUCGGACACUACUCGAUCGUCUCUCGGCGCCGUUGAUUACGUCAUUACUGUCGCACUAUUUAAAUGCGCCAUCAUCUGUCAGCUGGUGCCGAGCCAGCUCUGGGCUAAAUAGAUUUUUUUU